AGUGAACGCUGGCGGUAGGCCUAACACAUGCAAGUCGAACGGCAGCACAGUAAGAGCUUGCUCUUACGGGUGGCGAGUGGUGGACGGGUGAGGAAUACAUCGGAAUCUACUUUUUCGUGGGGGAUAACGUAGGGAAACUUACGCUAUUACCGCAUACGACCUACGGGUGAAAGCAGGGGAUCUUCGGACCUUGCGCGAUUGAAUGAGCCGAUGUCGGAUUAGCUAGUUGGCGGGGUAAAGGCCCACCAAGGCGACGAUCCGUAGCUGGUCUGAGAGGAUGAUCAGCCACACUGGAACUGAGACACGGUCCAGACUCCUACGGGAGGCAGCAGUGGGGAAUAUUGGACAAUGGGCGCAAGCCUGAUCCAGCCAUACCGCGUGGGUGAAGAAGGCCUUCGGGUUGUAAAGCCCUUUUGUUGGGAAAGAAAAGCAGCAGGUUAAUACCCCGCUGUUCUGACGGUACCCAAAGAAUAAGCACCGGCUAACUUCGUG
rnacentral:rRNA from 1 species